rnacentral:rRNA from 1 species
GUCAAGUCAUCAUGGCCCUUAUGUCCAGGGCUACACACGUGCUACAAUGGGCGGCACAAAGCGACGCGAAGCCGCGAGGCGCGAGCGAAACGUAGAAAGCCGCCCGUAGUUCGGAUUGAAGUCUGAAACCCGACUUCAUGAAGUUGGAAUCGCUAGUAAUCGCGCAUCAGCAUGGCGCGGUGAAUACGUUCCCGGGCCUU